rnacentral:sRNA from 1 species
AAAAAAUUGCUUAGAAGCAGUAAAUAGCUUUGUUAGUGUUUCCAUGGUCAAAAUGUAUCACAAUCCAAUUUAUUUGACUAAUUCUAUCAGUUAAAGAUAUAUUAGGAGUGUUUAGACAACACUUAUACCCAUUUUGUCCCAAAAGUGGCUAAAACCAACAAAAAAUUGCUUAGAAGUAGUAAAUAGCUUUGUUAGUGUUUUCUAUGGUAAAAUGUAUCACAAUCCAAUGCAUUUGACUAAUUAUAAGAAAGAAAGAUAGAUUAAGAGUAUUAGGACAACACUUAUACCCAUUUUCUCUCAAAAGAGGCUAAAACCAACAAAAAAUAACUUAGAAGCAGUAAAUAGCUUUGUUAGUGUUUCUAUGGUCAAAAUGUGUCACAAUCCAAAGCCUUUAACUAAUUAUAAGAGUUAGAGAUGGAUUAGGAGUGUUUAGACAACACUUAUACCCAUUUUCUCCUAAAACAGAGUAAAACCAACAAAAAAUUGCUUAAAAGCACUAACCAGUUUUGUUAGUGUUUCUAUGGUCAAAAUGUGUCACAAUCCAAUGCAUUUGACUAAUUAUAAGAGAUAAAGAUAGAUUAGGAAUGUUUGGACAACACUUAUACCCAAUUUCUCCCAGAAGAGGCUAAAACCAACAAAAAAUAACUUAGAAGCAGUAAAUAGCUUUGUUAGUGUUUCUAUGGUCAAAAUGUGUCACAAUCCAAAGCCUUUAACUAAUUAUAAGAGUUAGAGAUGGAUUAGGAGUGUUUAGAUAACACUUAUACCCAUUUUCUCCCAAAAGAGGGUAAAACCAACAAAAAUUAGCUUAGAAGCAGU